UGAAAACUUAUCAUACGUAAUCAUUAAUAAGAUAAGUCACUCUCAUCAAAUUAUUAUCAAUUAAAGUCCAACAACACAAUAGCUCUCACCUAUCUCUCCUUUCCCCAGUGCCGUCAAAUCACAGGAAUUAUUACACUAAAAUUUAUGGACAUGUUUAAAACUAGAGAGAAAUCUUGUUACGUAAUUAUUAAUUAAUCUAAUAAUCAGUCGGACAUGGUAAAAGAAUAAGAUCAGUCGGUAGGAGUCAAAAGAGUCGAGUGCGAAGGGAAAUGGACCGACCGGCUGUGCGACCGAAUUAUUAAUAUUAUUGUCAUGGAGAGGUCGUGCGAAUUUUGGUGUACAAAAGUUAAUCGUCUCAACGGUGAUGACGUAGACGAGAGGGGUUAUUACUAUUUAUUAUGGAUAAACUGCAUUCCCCAAAAGGAUGAAGAAGCAUAUGAGCGGAUGUACAUAUGUAGUAUGAAAUAAUGAUCUUGUAAGCGGUGGUGAUAAAUGCAUAGUCUCCAAUAGGUAAUUUUGUACCUGAGCCUCCUCCGACGAUCGGUAAACCCGGCAGGUUCCAUGUUGUGUUUGCCUCCAGUGGAUCCCCCUCCGUCCAUCAAAUUGAAGGAACCACCGAAUUUGUCGUGGGGGACGUCGGCCUUGUCGGACGAUUCCUCGACCAAACUUAGGCUGUCGUCCUCAUCCCCUACGAUGAAGCUCACUCGAUCUUCUCCUUCCACCUCACCUGAAAUAAUUUUACAAAUUCAGUCAAUUUGUAACUUAUGGGGUUAUGUAUUUAGGAAAUAACAACAUAAUAUGUAAAUAUGUAUAAUAUUUAACUAUUUUUCAUUAAUUUAGCCUUGAAACAAGGCGAGUAAGUUUGUUAAUUUAGUAAAUAAACGUAUGUCCAUUAAUAGUCCGGAGAGUCAAGAAAUAC